rnacentral:rRNA from 1 species
AUUGAACGCUGGCGGCAUGCCUUACACAUGCAAGUCGAACGGCAGCACGGGUGCUUGCCCCUGGUGGCGAGUGGCGAACGGGUGAGUAAUACAUCGGAACAUGUCCUGUAGUGGGGGAUAGCCCGGCGAAAGCCGGAUUAAUACCGCAUACGAUCUACGGAUGAAAGCGGGGGACCUUCGGGCCUCGCGCUAUAGGGUUGGCCGAUGGCUGAUUAGCUAGUUGGGGGGGUAAAGGCCUACCAAGGCGACGAUCAGUAGCUGGUCUGAGAGGACGACCAGCCACACUGGGACUGAGACACGGCCCAGACUCCUACGGGAGGCAGCAGUGGGGAAUUUUGGACAAUGGGCGAAAGCCUGAUCCAGCAAUGCCGCGUGUGUGAAGAAGGCCUUCGGGUUGUAAAGCACUUUUGUCCGGAAAGAAAUCCUUGGCCCUAAUACGGUCGGGGGAUGACGGUACCGGAAGAAUAAGCACCGGCUAACUACGUG